rnacentral:rRNA from 1 species
GAUGUACGCUGGCGGCGUGCCUAAUACAUGCAAGUCGAGCGAACAGAUAAGGAGCUUGCUCCUUUGACGUUAGCGGCGGACGGGUGAGUAACACGUGGGUAACCUUCCUAUAAGACUGGGAUAACUUCGGGAAACCGGAGCUAAUACCGGAUAACAUUUGGAACCGCAUGGUUCUAAAGUGAAAGAUGGUUUUGCUAUCACUUAUAGAUGGACCCGCGCCGUAUUAGCUAGUUGGUAAGGUAACGGCUUACCAAGGCGACGAUACGUAGCCGACCUGAGAGGGUGAUCGGCCACACUGGAACUGAGACACGGUCCAGACUCCUACGGGAGGCAGCAGUAGGGAAUCUUCCGCAAUAGGCGAAAGCCUGACGGAGCAACGCCGCGUGAGUGAUGAAGGGUUUCGGCUCGUAAAACUCUGUUAUUAGGGAAGAACAAAUGUGUAAGUAACUGUGCACGUCUUGACGGUACCUAAUCAGAAAGCCACGGCUAACUACGUG